rnacentral:rRNA from 1 species
GAUGAACGCUGGCGGCGUGCCUAAUACAUGCAAGUCGAGCGAACAGACGAGGAGCUUGCUCCUCUGACGUUAGCGGCGGACGGGUGAGUAACACGUGGAUAACCUACCUAUAAGACUGGGAUAACUUCGGGAAACCGGAGCUAAUACCGGAUAAUAUAUUGAACCGCAUGGAUCAAUAGUGAAAGACGGUUUUGGUGUCACUUAUAGAUGGAUCCGCGCCGCAUUAGCUAGUUGGUAAGGUAACGGCUUACCAAGGCGACGAUGCGUAGCCGACCUGAGAGGGUGAUCGGCCACACUGGAACUGAGACACGGUCCAGACUCCUACGGGAGGCAGCAGUAGGGAAUCUUCCGCAAUGGGCGAAAGCCUGACGGAGCAACGCCGCGUGAGUGAUGAAGGUCUUCGGAUCGUAAAACUCUGUUAUUAGGGAAGAACAAAUGUGUAAGUAACUAUGCACGUCUUGACGGUACCUAAUCAGAAAGCCACGGCUAACUACGUG